GUCGAACGGUAACAGGUCUUUCGGGAUGCUGACGAGUGGCGGACGGGUGAGGAAUACAUCGGAGUCUGCUCAGUCGUGGGGGAUAACGCAUGGAAACGUGCGCUAAUACCGCAUACGACCUUCGGGUGAAAGCAGGGGAAUCUCUCGGGAUCCUUGCGCGAUUGAAUGAGCCGAUGUCGGAUUAGCUAGUUGGUAGGGUAAAAGCCUACCAAGGCCACGAUCCGUAGCUGGUCUGAGAGGAUGAUCAGCCACACUGGGACUGAGACACGGCCCAGACUCCUGCGGGAGGCAGCAGUGGGGAAUAUUGGACAAUGGGGGCAACCCUGAUCCAGCCAUACCGCGUGGGUGAAGAAGGCCUUCUGGGUUGUAAAGCCCUUUUGUUGGGGAAGAAAAACAACGGGUUAAUACCCCGUUGGUAUGACGGUACCCAAAGAAUAAGCACCGGCUAACUUCGUGCCAGCAGCCGCGGUAAUACGAAGGGUGCAAGCGUUACUCGGAAUUACUGGGCGUAAAGGGUGCGUAGGUGGUUGCGCCAGUCUGUCGUGAAAGCCCUGGGCUUAACCUGGGAAUGGCGAUGGAAACUGUGCAACUAGAGUGCGACAGAGGGUGGUGGAAUUCCUGGUGUAGCAGUGAAAUGCGUAGAGAUCAGGAGGAACAUUCGUGGCGAAGGCGGCCACCUGGGUCAACACUGACACUGAGGCACGAAAGCGUGGGGAGCAAACAGGAUUAGAUACCCUGGUAGUCCACGCCCUAAACGAUGCGAACUGGAUGUUGGGUCCA
rnacentral:rRNA from 1 species